rnacentral:rRNA from 1 species
UAAGGAAUAUUGGGCAAUGCCCGCAAGGGUGACCCAGCAACGCCGCGUGGAGGAUGAAUGUCGUAAGAUUGUAAACUCCUGUUAGAGGGGAAGAAUAGUACCGGUUGGACCGGUAUAUGACUGUACCCUCAGAGAAAGCCCCGGCUAACUACGUGCCAGCAGCCGCGGUAAUACGUAGGGGGCAAGCGUUGUCCGGAUUUACUGGGUGUAAAGGGUGCUAAGGCGGAUUUGUAAGUCAGAGGUGAAAUCUUACAGCUUAACUGUGAAACUGCCUUUGAUACUGCAAGCCUAGAGUAUGGAAGAGAGUGAUGGAAUAUCUGGUGUAGCAGUGAAAUGCGUAGAUAUCAGAUAGAACACCAAUGGCGAAGGCAGUCACUUGGUCCAUUACUGACGCUAAAGCACGAAAGCGUGGGUAGCAAACA